UACGAAGGGGGCUAGCGUUGUUCGGAAUCACUGGGCUUAAAGGGCGCGUAGGCGGAUUCUCAAGUCCGGGGUGAAAUCCCACAGCUCAACUGUGGAACUGCCUCGGAUACUGGGAGUCUCGAGGGUGGCAGGGGUAUGCGGAACUAUCGGUGGAGCGGUGAAAUGCGUUGAUAUCGAUAGGAACUCCGGUGGCGAAGGCGGCAUACUGGUCCACUUCUGACGCUGAGGCGCGAAAGCCAGGGGAGCAAACGGG
rnacentral:rRNA from 1 species